rnacentral:rRNA from 1 species
GAACGACUCUCGGCAACGGAUAUCUCGGCUCUCGCAUCGAUGAAGAACGUAGCGAAAUGCGAUACUUGGUGUGAAUUGCAGAAUCCCGUGAACCAUCGAGUUUUUGAACGCAAGUUGCGCCCUAGGCCAUCCGGUGAGGGCACGCCUGCCUGGGCGUCAC